rnacentral:tRNA from 1 species
GCCUCCGUAGCUCAGCGGAUAGAGCAGGGGCCUUCUAAGCCCUGUUUGUCGCAGGUUCGAAUCCUGCCGGGGGCG